rnacentral:rRNA from 1 species
CCUACGUGCGGCAGCAGUGAGGAAUAUUGGUCAAUGGACGAGAGUCUGAACCAGCCAAGUAGCGUGAAGGAUGACUGCCCUACGGGUUGUAAACUUCUUUUAUAUGGGAAUAAAAUGUUCCACGUGUGGGCUUUUGUAUGUACCAUAUGAAUACGGAUCGGCUUACUCCGUGCCAGCAGCCGCGGUAAUCCGGAGGAUCCGCGCUGUAUCCGGAUUUAUUGGGGUUUAAGGGAGCGUAGGUGGAUUGUUAAGUCAGUUGUGAAAGUUUGCGGCUCAACCGUAAAAUUGCAGUUGAAACUGGCAGUCUUGAGUACAGUAGAGGUGGGCGGAAUUCGUGGUGUAGCGGUGAAAUGCUUAGAUAUCACGAAGAACUCCGAUUGCGAAGGCAGCUCACUGGACUGCAACUGACACUGAGGCUCGAAAGUGUGGGUAUCAAACAGGAUUAGAUACCCCGGUAGUC